AUAUUAAUCCAAAUCCUAAACUGCUACAGUCUGACACCUUUUCACAGGAAAAAAAAGGAAAAGAAAAGCAUCUCUUCCUUUCGUUCUUAUUUUAACCCUAGAAACCCAUUUGUGUUCAACUUCAACUGUUGCUGGGUUUGGAUCGUUUCCUCCAGGACACGGCUGUGAACUUUAUGAGAAGAAGUGAAAUCCUGUUAACAGCUAGAUGGGUGAAGUUCUUCCUCUGUGUGCCUCUCCUCGUGGCUUAUUCCUCUGCAGUUGGACGGUUUCCUAUCAGAAGUGCUGGCAGACCUUUGAAGACUGUGAUUUCAUUUGUUAAGAAGUUUAGGUGGGCAUGGCCAUCUUCAUUGGGUGGUCCACCGGAUGGUGAUAAGAUUUAAUGCAUAACGUGAGUGGGAAUACUGCUAAGUGAAGAUCUGGCAAUUGAGGAAUGCAUAAGUUUGAUGUAGUCAGUCUGUUAUAGUCUUGUCAUUGACUUUGCCACAAAUUUAUGAGAUUUUAUUUGAAGGGGGAGGUAAUAAUAGUGCAUCAAGUUUGUGCGUGGUGCUGCUCACUCCCAUUUGGUCAUAGGAUUUCCUUUGAAGUUCUUUUAUGAAAAAGUUUCUGCAAGUAUAGCUUUUCUGGUCGAACCCGCCCAAACCAACUAAGAAGAACCGAAGACACAUCUUUUUUGUUAUGAACCAGCCCCAGCCCAAUGUCUCACAAGUAGCUAUUAGGCUGACUGCUGAGAAGAGCUUUUGGGCCGAGAACAAGUAAUAGGGUCAAGGUUAAUUUGGGAUCCAGGUUGAGUGUAUGAUGCAAGGAUGGUUCUGUUAAAAGGGGGACCGGUCGGUUAUUUUGGGAUGAGGCAUAUUGUUGAGAAAGGUGGCCGCUUCUCCUCGUUUCCCAUUCUUCGAGUCUAAUCUUCUUAUCCACUUCUUCUAUCUAUCCCUAGUUACUUUACUUCUUGCAAUUCUAUUGUAAUUCUGCUACUAAGUUGUUGCAUUUUGAUAUUUUGAGUUGUAAUCACAUUUCAGUCUUAUUAAUAGAGUGGAGAGGUUCAGUUACUCUGGAUUUGAGUUCAUUACAUUUUUCCUUUUGGGAGUAUUGUAACACAGGUGUUACAGAUCUAUUCCUGUCUCACUUAUGAAGAGUUACUUCAACGUUUCCUUGGUCA